GUUGAACGCUGGCGGCGUGCCUAAUACAUGCAAGUCGAGCGAACAGACGAGGCGCUUGCUCCUCUUCCGUUAGCGGCGGACGGGUGAGUACCACGUGGCUACCCUACCUAUAAGACUGGGAUAACUUCGGGAGACCUGAUCUCAUACCGGUCAAUAUAUUGAACCGCAUGGUUCUUUGGUCCAAGACGUAUUUGCUGUCCCUUAUAGAUGGUUCCGCGCUGCAUUAGCUAGUUGGUACGGUAACGGCUUACCAAGGCAACGAUGCGUAGCCGAUCUGAGAGGGUGAUCGGCCACACUGGAACUGAGACACGGUCCAGACUCCUACGGGAGGCAGCAGUAGGGAAUAUUCCGCAAUGGGCGAAAGCCUGACGGAGCAACGCCGCGUGAGUGAUGAAGGUCUUCGGAUCGUAAAACUCUGUUAUUAGGGAAGAACAAAUGUGAAAGAAACUAUGCACGUCUUGACGGUACCUAAACAGAAAGCCACGGCUAACUACGUG
rnacentral:rRNA from 1 species